rnacentral:rRNA from 1 species
AACGUAGGAGACAAACGUUAUCCGGAGUUACUGGGCGUAAAGGGCGUGUAGGCGGUUAGUUAAGUCUGGCGUGAAAGCUCUCGGCUAAACCGGGAGAGGUCGUUGGAUACUGGCGAACUAGAGGAUGGUAGAGGCGUGUGGAAUUCCGGGUGUAGUGGUGAAAUGCGUAGAGAUCCGGAGGAACACCAGUGGCGAAGGCGACACGCUGGGCCAUACCUGACGCUAAAGCGCGACAGCAUGGGGAGCAAACGGG